UACGUAGGUGACUAGCGUUGUCCGGAUUUACUGGGCGUAAAGAGCGCGCAGGCGGUCGUUCAAGUCGAGUGUGAAAGCCCCCGGCUCAACUGGGGAAGGUCAUUCGAUACUGAUCGACUCGAAGGCAGGAGAGGGAAGCGGAAUUCCCGGUGUAGUGGUGAAAUGCGUAGAUAUCGGGAGGAACACCAGUGGCGAAGGCGGCUUCCUGGCCUGUUCUUGACGCUGAGGCGCGAAAGCUAGGGGAGCAAACGGG
rnacentral:rRNA from 1 species